rnacentral:rRNA from 1 species
CACNGGCGGCGAAAGCGGCUCUCUGGUCUGUAACUGACGCUGAGGCUCGAAAGCGUGGGGAGCGAACAGGAUUAGAUACCCUGGUAGUCCACGCCGUAAACGAUGAGUGCUAGGUGUUGGGUCCUUUCCGGGAUUCAGUGCCGCAGCUAACGCAUUAAGCACUCCGCCUGGGGAGUACGACCGCAAGGUUGAAACUCAAAGGAAUUGACGGGGGCCCGCACAGGCGGUGGAGCAUGUGGUUUAAUUCGAAGCAACGCGAAGAACCUUACCAGGUCUUGACAUCCCGAUGCUAUUUCUAGAGAUAGGAAGUUACUUCGGUACAUCGGUGACAGGUGGUGCAUGGUUGUCGUCAGCUCGUGUCGUGAGAUGUUGGGUUAAGUCCCGCAACGAGCGCAACCCCUAUUGUUAGUUGCCAUCAUUCAGUUGGGCACUCUAGCGAGACUGCCGGUAAUAAACCGGAGGAAGGUGGGGAUGACGUCAAAUCAUCAUGCCCCUUAUGACCUGGGCUACACACGUGCUACAAUGGUUGGUACAACGAGUUGCGAGUCGGUGACGGCGAGCUAAUCUCUUAAAGCCAAUCUCAGUUCGGAUUGUAGGCUGCAACUCGCCUACAUGAAGUCGGAAUCGCUAGUAAUCGCGGAUCAGCACGCCGCGGUGAAUACGUUCCCGGGCCUUGUACACACCGCCCGUCACACCACGAGAGUUUGUAACACC